UGCAAGUCGAGCGGCAGCGACAACAUUGAACCUUCGGGGGAUUUGUUGGGCGGCGAGCGGCGGACGGGUGAGUAAUGCCUGGGAAAUUGCCCUGAUGUGGGGGAUAACCAUUGGAAACGAUGGCUAAUACCGCAUGAUAGCUUCGGCUCAAAGAGGGGGACCUUCGGGCCUCUCGCGUCAGGAUAUGCCCAGGUGGGAUUAGCUAGUUGGUGAGGUAAGGGCUCACCAAGGCGACGAUCCCUAGCUGGUCUGAGAGGAUGAUCAGCCACACUGGAACUGAGACACGGUCCAGACUCCUACGGGAGGCAGCAGUGGGGAAUAUUGCACAAUGGGCGCAAGCCUGAUGCAGCCAUGCCGCGUGUAUGAAGAAGGCCUUCGGGUUGUAAAGUACUUUCAGCAGUGAGGAAGGAGGUAUCGUUAAUAGCGGUAUCUUUUGACGUUAGCUGCAGAAGAAGCACCGGCUAACUCCGUGCCAGCAGCCGCGGUAAUACGGAGGGUGCGAGCGUUAAUCGGAAUUACUGGGCGUAAAGCGCAUGCAGGUGGUUUGUUAAGUCAGAUGUGAAAGCCCGGGGCUCAACCUCGGAAUUGCAUUUGAAACUGGCAGGCUAGAGUACUGUAGAGGGGGGUAGAAUUUCAGGUGUAGCGGUGAAAUGCGUAGAGAUCUGAAGGAAUACCGGUGGCGAAGGCGGCCCCCUGGACAGAUACUGACACUCAGAUGCGAAAGCGUGGGGAGCAAACAGGAUUAGAUACCCUGGUAGUCCACGCCGUAAACGAUGUCUACUUGGAGGUUGUGGCCUUGAGCCGUGGCUUUCGGAGCUAACGCGUUAAGUAGACCGCCUGGGGAGUACGGUCGCAGAUUAAAACUCAAAUGAAUUGACGGGGGCCCGCACAAGCGGUGGAGCAUGUGGUUUAAUUCGAUGCACGCGAAAACCUUACCUACUCUUGACAUCCAGAGACUUAGCAGAGAUGCUUGGUGCCUUCGGAACUCUGAAACAGGUGCUGCAUGCUGGUCGUCAGCUCGUGUUG
rnacentral:rRNA from 1 species